rnacentral:snRNA from 1 species
AGCAUGAUUUACAAAUAUGAGUU